UUGGAUUCCCUUGCUGACUUUGAGAGAUAGUAUAAUUGUUGGGUUUAUGUGGCCUUUAAAGGCCUUAUGAGAGAUUGUAUAAAACAUUUUCAAUAAAUGAAGCAUAAACUCAAUGGGAAUGUGGUCUUUUUGUAGACCAUACUAGGCAAAUGUUAUUUUGCUGAUACUCGGUCUAGGCUCUACGAGCUAGACCAGCCUAGGUUGAUACCUGGGCAUAGGGGUCUAACCGAGAAGGGUUUAGUGGGUUAACCCUUGAUGAGGUCGGUGUAUACCUGGAUGAGUGCUGAGGGAUUGUGUAGCCCUUUUGUGUGAUGAAUAGCUUUUAGAGACAGGGCUAAAACCUCAUCGUUAUAUCAUCACACGACAUGUACAUAGAUAUCCGUUUUGAUAUUCAUCAAUGAGGGUGAAAUGUGUACAUGUGCGAGAGAUUACCCCUAUGCAACACAGUCCUGGUUGCAUAAUGGUUUGGAUGAUCAUAUUUUUGUCUCUAGUGGAGAACCGGAAUCCAUAAACUGGGAUUGCGUCUUUUAGUCUAUUGGUUGACUUUGGUGGUCCAAUCAUGAACCCUUACAGUAGACUGUGGGUCAUGGGAACUGUUGGGUCAGUUUGAGAAAGCUACAC
rnacentral:lncRNA from 1 species